UGGGUCGGCCGGGCGGCCGCGGUCCGUCACCCCUGGUUCGUCCGGGGACGGCGGGUCGAGGAAGGUCCGGGCUCCACAGGGCAGGGUGGUGGCCAACAGCCACCCGGGGCAACCCGCGGGAUCAGUGCCACAGAGAACAGACCGCCUCCCUCUCCGGAGGGCGGCAAGGGUGAAACGGUGGUGCAAGAGACCACCAGUGCGCCGGGCGACCGGCGCAGCUAGGCAAACCCCACCCGGAGCAAGAUCAGACAGGAUGCGUUCGAGGGCGGCCCGCCCGAGCAUCCGGGUAGAUCGCACCAGGCGGCCGGCAACGGUCGUCGCAGAUGGAUGGUCGCCCCUGCGCAAGCAGGACAGAACCCGGCCUACAGGCCGGCCCACUCC
rnacentral:RNase_P_RNA from 1 species